ensembl:lncRNA
AUGUCAUUUGUAAGAAUGAAUGGUGUUUAUGUAUCUAGUGGGCUGGGGAGGGGAUGCUAUAUGGGGUUAGAUGGAGAAGCCAGUGAUCGAAAGAUAGGCCAGUCAGGUCGAGGCCCGGUGGCAUGUUCAACCCCUAUCACCCACAAAGUAAGUAACACACAGGAGCAGGUAGCAGAUCUUGAUACUGUUAGUUAUCCUACCCACAGACAUACAGCGCAGGCGCAUGACACGAAUGAUACAAUGCAGAACUUUAUGCCCAGCACAAGCCCAGCAAAUGCCACACCUACACAGACUUGCUCAGGAGGCUGUCUGGAUGCCUCGAGACUGAAUGUAGUUGUCCAUGCAGACGCCAGACCGCCCCCGUUCUUCAGAGGUGACCACACUGACACAUGCACUGUCCAUGAAUGGGAGGAUUUAAUGCAAAGCUACAUGCGAAGACGCAAAUGCGACACUGCAGAAAAGUAUGAUGUGAUAACUAGCAGACUUAUGGGGAAAGCCAGGGACAUUGUUAAGGUUUCGCUGCGCAGCAACGCGGAAGUUGACCCCUACAGCUGCCCUACUGCUGUCUUUGACAUCCUGAAGCAGAAUUUUAGCGAUCUCCCAUACUCUAGCAUGCCCAUGGCUGACUUUUAUAGCACACUUCCAAGAAUGCGUGAGAGUGCAUUAGACUACUGGGUGCGAUUGAACAAGGCUAUCGAUAUUGCUGAUGAGUGCCUCCGCAGGCAGGGCAAAUGUGUAGAAGACGUGUGCGCUGAAGUUGUGAUGAUGUUUGUUACUCAUUGUCCAGACCCCCAUUUGGCCAUGUCUUUCAAGUACAAAUCAGCCAGAAAAUGGACAGCCUCAGAGAUCCAGGAGCGCUUAGACGAGCAUCAGAGGGAUUUGAGGCGUGGGACGUCAGUGAGCCAGCAUUCUUCAUCCAUUUACAGUCCUCCCCCUGUUGCAGUCAGUCAGUCCCCUGCACAGUUCAACAUCCUGUCCGAAAAGGAAGAGCUGAUGGGUCCUGUGCUUCGCCAGCUGCCCGCAGCUGUAUCAAUGGCUGUGAACCAUGCAGAGGAGGAGCCAGGUAUGCGUGAAGUAGUAGGCAUGCUGAAUAAAGUCAUCACACUGUGCUCCACCCAGUCGCUGUCACAAAAUGUUCAGCCCCUGUACCGUCAGCGCCCCGCCCGGCCCUCUGUGUCCUCUGCCUGUGAGGUAUGCAGCAGCACUGACCACUCCACCUUCAGCCACUGUAGACUGCUGAAACUCUGUUGUCGUUGCUUCCAAGCUGGCCACUUUAAAAACAACUGUCCAAGUGCCUCUCGUCCGGCAGCAGCAUCCGCAAAGCCCAGCCACAAGCCGUUAAACUAG